UACAGAGGGGGCAAGCGUUAUUCGGAUUUACUGGGCGUAAAGGGCGCGUAGGCGGCGUGACAAGUCACUUGUGAAAUCUCCGGGCUUAACUCGGAACGGCCAAGUGAUACUGUCGUGCCAGAGUGCAGAAGGGGCAAUCGGAAUUCUUGGUGUAGCGGUGAAAUGCGUAGAUAUCAAGAGGAACACCUGAGGUGAAGACGGGUUGCUGGGCUGACACUGACGCUGACAGCGCGAAAGCUAGGGGAGCAAACGGG
rnacentral:rRNA from 1 species